rnacentral:lncRNA from 1 species
AUGGACACGCCACAUACCACAUACACACAUACACCACAUGCUACAUAUACACACAGAGACAUGCCACAUGCCAUACACACACAUACACCACAUGCUAUGUACACACACGGACACGCCACAUACCACAUACACACAUACACCACAUGCUACGUAUACACACAGAGACAUGCCACAUACACACACACCACAUGCUAUGUACACACACGGGCAUGCCAUGUGUCACACACACCACAUGCUACAGACACGCCACGUGCCACAUACACACACACUCAUGCCACAUAUACACACAGAUAUACCAUGUGCCACACUCAGAUACAGUAUGUGCCACACACACACCACACACACAUACACACAUACCACAUGCCCCACACACAGCCCACAUAUACAGAACACCACAUGCUACAUAUACACACAUAUCCCACAUGCCACAUAUGCACACACACACACCCCAUGUGCCACACACAUCCCACAAGCCACGCACACACAUCCCACGUGCCACACACAUCCCACAAGCCACGCACACACACAUGCGCAUGUGCUCCCCACGCCGGCUGGCCGCACAAGGGCACCUGUGCUCUCGAAGAUGCAGGAGGGUUGGAGGAGCCCAGGGCAGGGGCGCCAGCAGGCCCCAGGCUGUGCAGGCCGCACAGCCUCUGCCUCCACCCGGGCUGUCCCUGGAAGGCUUCACGGGCCCAGCCUUCCGGGAAUCCCUCACACUUCGGAGGUGGCGGUCCCUGGAGGAGGCGCCGAUGCCGACACCUGCUCGCCUGCCACCACACCUCGGCUGCGGACGGGCGCUGCGGGCGGCCAGGAGACUCGGCAAACUCAUGGCAGCUCCUGCUUGAGACCCUGGGCAGCGCAGGGAGGCUCCGUGUCCUGGCCAGCCUGGGGCUUGCCUGCCUGCCGCCCGGGUGCCUGAGUCACACACACAGCGCCGCCACCCCCACUGCGCAGCCUCAGUGUCCCCACCGCGCAGCGGGCGUGUCCUCAGCAGCUCGCUGCCUGACCCCAGGCUCCCUCCCACCCGUCUCCAGCUCCAGCCUCUUCCCCCAGGCAGCAAGCAGAGGCCAGUCAGGAGCACCAGCCAGGGGCAGGUGA